rnacentral:misc_RNA from 1 species
GAUGAAGAACGCAGCGAAAUGCGAUAAGUAAUGUGAAUUGCAGAAUUCAGUGAAUCAUCGAAUCUUUGAACGCACAUUGCGCCCGCCAGUAUUCUGGCGGGCAUGCCUGUUCGAGCGUCAUUACAACCCUCAGGCCCCCGGGCCUGGCGUUGGGGAUCGGCGGAGCCCCCCGUGGGCACACGCCGUCCCCCAAAUGCAGUGGCGGUCCCGCCGCAGCUUCCAUCGCGUCGUAGCUAACACCUCGCGACUGGAGAGCGGCGCGGCCACGCCGUAAAACACCCAACUCUUCUGAAGUUGACCUCGAAUCAGGUAGGAAUACCCGCUGAACUUAAGCAUAUCAAUAAGCGGAGGA